rnacentral:rRNA from 1 species
AGAGUUUGAUCCUGGCUCAGGACGAACGCUGGCGGCGUGCCUAACACAUGCAAGUCGAGCGAAGAACUUAUCAUGAAACCUUCGGGUAGAUUGAUAAACUUCUUAGCGGCGGAUGGGUGAGUAACGCGUGAGGAACCUGCCUUCCACAAGGGGAUAGCCUCGGGAAACCGGGAUUAAUACCCUAUGACACUUAAGAUUCGCAUGAAUAUUAAGUUAAAGCGUUUAGCGGUGGAAGAUGGCCUCGCGUCCCAUUAGCUAGUUGGUGAGGCAACGGCUCACCAAGGCAACGAUGGGUAGCCGGCUUGAGAGAGUGAACGGCCACACUGGAACUGAGACACGGUCCAGACUCCUACGGGAGGCAGCAGUGGGGAAUAUUGCACAAUGGAGGGAACUCUGAUGCAGCGACGCCGCGUGAGCGAUGAAGGCCUUCGGGUCGUAAAGCUCUGUCCUAUGGGACGAUAAUGACGGUACCAUAGGAGGAAGCCCCGGCUAACUACGUGCCAGCAGCCGCGGUAAUACGUAGGGGGCGAGCGUUGUCCGGAAUUACUGGGCGUAAAGGGUACGCAGGCGGCCAUGUAAGUCAGAUGUGAAAGGUCACGGCUCAACCGUGGUAAGCAUUUGAAACUGUGUGGCUUGAGUUAAGGAGAGGAAAGUGGAAUUCCUGGUGUAGCGGUGAAAUGCGUAGAUAUCAGGAGGAAUACCAGUGGCGAAGGCGACUUUCUGGACUUAAACUGACGCUGAGGUACGAAAGCGUGGGGAGCAAACAGGAUUAGAUACCCUGGUAGUCCACGCCGUAAACGAUGAGUGCUAGGUGUCGGAGGGAGACUUUCGGUGCCGCAGUUAACACAUUAA